rnacentral:sRNA from 1 species
UUUUUUUGUUGUUUUGUU